UACGUAGGGGGCAAGCGUUGUCCGGAAUUAUUGGGCGUAAAGAGCGCGUAGGCGGUCCGGUAAGUCGGUUGUGAAAGUCGGGGGCUCAACCCUCGGAUGCCGAUCGAUACUGUCGGGCUAGAGUCCGGAAGAGGCGAGUGGAAUUCCUGGUGUAGCGGUGAAAUUCGUAGAUAUCUGGAGGAACACCGGUGGCGAAGGCGGCAUCCUGGACCGGUAUUGACGCUGAUGCGCGAAAGCCAGGGGAGCAACGGG
rnacentral:rRNA from 1 species